CUCGCAGAUUGCGCGCGACAGCCAAGAGGGGAGAGAAUCCCGCUGAGGAGGAGGUUCGCAAUUAUUGGAAAAGGCCGGGAAAGUUCUGUCUUCCAACCUGCCUCUACUAGGCUAUUCCAGGGCGAACCGACCCCCCUGCGGUCUCUGUAUCUACCCUUUCACAUAGUAGGUACCCAGUACUGUACAAGUUUACUGAUUGGCGGAUGAUUGAAGGCGGAGGGAGUAUUACAGAAAAUAUGGCAUAAUGCAGGAGAGACCAAAGAAAGAUGCAAUCAAGCACUGAAAGUGGACUCAGCUGUUUCAAGAAAUUUGGCAGUCCUGGGUACUUACUAGGUGGCUUACAGGGAUUGAACUCGGGACCUUGUGCAGUAGGCGCCGGAGCCACACUGAGCUAAAUCCCCAGCCCCAAUACUUCUUAAGUUGCUGUAUCUGCCUUUCAGAUUAUUCAGAUUAAAAGCUCUGUGAUGAUACUUGCCUUAUCCAGUAUCAUAUCUCUAGUACCCAGAAAGUGAGUGAAAUGUUUCUCAUGAUCAAUAACUAUUUGGUGAAUUACUACCUUGGCUUCAUGGUGCCUGAGGAGCAUUGCUUAAGAUGGCUGUAUCCAAACUGGAAUACUGGCCUUUUGAUGUUCUUCCACUUCAGAUUCUUUCAUUUUGCACAUAAUUUUUCAGAGC